CAUGCAAGUCGAACGAGAAUCUACUGAAAGAGUUUUCGGACAAUGGAAGUAGAGGAAAGUGGCGGACGGAUGAGUAACGCGUGAGGAACCUGCCUUGAAGAGGGGGACAACAGUUGGAAACGACUGCUAAUACCGCAUGAAGCAUAGGGGUCGCAUGAUCUUUAUGCCAAAGAUUUAUCGCUUCAAGAUGGCCUCGCGUCUGAUUAGCUAGUUGGCGGGGUAACGGCCCACCAAGGCGACGAUCAGUAGCCGGACUGAGAGGUUGAACGGCCACAUUGGGACUGAGAUACGGCCCAGACUCCUACGGGAGGCAGCAGUGGGGAAUAUUGGGCAAUGGGCGCAAGCCUGACCCAGCAACGCCGCGUGAAGGAAGAAGGCUUUCGGGUUGUAAACUUCUUUUAAGAGGGAAGAGCAGAAGACGGUACCUCUAGAAUAAGCCACGGCUAACUACGUGCCAGCAGCCGCGGUAAUACGUAGGUGGCAAGCGUUGUCCGGAUUUACUGGGUGUAAAGGGCGUGCAGCCGGGUCUGCAAGUCAGAUGUGAAAUCCAUGGGCUCAACCCAUGAACUGCAUUUGAAACUGUAGAUCUUGAGUGUCGGAGGGGCAAUCGGAAUUCCUAGUGUAGCGGUGAAAUGCGUAGAUAUUAGGAGGAACACCAGUGGCGAAGGCGGAUUGCUGGACGAUAACUGACGGUGAGGCGCGAAAGUGUGGGGAGCAAACAGGAUUAGAUACCCUGGUAGUCCACACUGUAAACGAUGAAUACUAGGUGUGCGGGGGACUGACC
rnacentral:rRNA from 1 species